rnacentral:lncRNA from 1 species
CAAGUGUCCUGAUUGGUUUGUUUUUGCAAUAGAGAUAAUAAACUCACACAACAGAUUGUUACCAAAAAAUUGUCUUUCAUUCUCACAGAUUGCAUAUGUUUGUACGUUAGAACAGAAGCUUAUUCUUCAUUCAUAAGACUGUUUAAAAGUACGUUGUUAUUUUUUGCUUGACGUUUAAAUUAAAAAGUGUCUAAGGGUUAUCUUAGAUUAGAUUUCGCACCUUAAUAACAACGUACUUUUAAAUUCAAUGUGUUCUGUGAUACAGAUAAUCUUAAUAUCCAGUAAUGCACACACAAAAACAACAAACAUAUAUGCACACAACACUCAUAUAUCACACACAUACUCGGAUGUUAAUUUUUUUAUAAACAACUUUUUUGCCCUUCAUUAAAUCCGACAAAAGGCAUACCUUGAAAAAAAAGGUUCAAUUAAUGCCUUAAUAUAAAGAAAUGAAACAUGGAAAUGCCAAAUUUAAGUUCAAUACAUCAUUGCCUUAAAGACUUAAGUUCAAUUCCUUAAUACAAAUAAAUGAAACAUGGAGUAAAAUCCGUUUUUCCCCACGUUCAACUACCAAUCAAUCCAGCUUCCAAGGCACUUCAACAUUUUACAUCAAACUACCUAGUACAAAUCAAACCCAAGUGUCAACAGAUGAGUUUAUACAACUCAUUAUAAAACUUUAUGAUCUCACCAAUAAGGUUGCCAUGUCCAACACUUAAGGUUCAAACAUACAGCCCCUUCCAUUCCAUCUGAAGUUGAAAAUUUUAUACAACUCAUUAUAAAACAAAACCCACAAUUUUAGUUUGAACAAAACAUAUAAAUACAAACAUAUUACAAUAGAUUUUUGUUUAAUUUAUUAUACAAUAACAUAAUAUUAGAGAAGUUCAUUAAUAAAACAUAGCUAAUAAUAACAAUGUAUAUUAUUUUAAACACAUAUAAACACAACCACUCUCACAUCCAAUGCCACACACACACCACACAACCACACACACAGGGCAUGUGUAUCUGUAUUCUGUGUGUUGUUGUGUAUGUGGGAAAAAUCUGUCAGAUGAAUGCCAAAAUAUAAGAAGCUGUCAAAUGAAUGCUACAAAAUAACCUCAUACUUAUAUUAUGUUAAAAGGAAAGAUACAUUCCUUUUUUUCUUACAAAACCAUUGUACGUUAUCAUUAAUAACAGUUCUUGAAAACAUUUUAUUUUGCUUUUUUUUCUUUACCAAAGCAUUGCAUGUUGAAAUUAGAUUGCUAUGAUUGGGUGAAUGUUGUCAAAGUAUAUGCUAUUAUAGCAUUGUACUUGGAAAGUACAAUGCUUUAACAGGGAUAUAAAUUACAAUGACAAUGAUUUUUAACAGGAUUACAAUGACAAUGCUUUAACACGAAUAUAAAUCACUGUAUAUGAUAAUCCAGCUCAGCACCCAUGUAAGGAAAAAAAACAAUAAUCAUAGAUCCAUUGAAUCUCACAGUUAGAAGGUACAUAUCAUGCUUCAAAUAGAACUUCCUGAAAACAAAAGAAAGUUUUUAGGUCAGGUGUCCUAUGAAGAGGAGGGGAACUUUAACUAUAUGUCCGCCUAGAAAUUCAUGGAGAAAUAAAUUAAUUUCAAUAUUAUUCCAUCAAAUAAGAAAUUGACUGAAUUAAUUCAAUUGCUACUGCCAGACCCUAUUUAAACACUCAUUUAACCUUGAAAUCAUCCUCCACUUACAAUUAGCAACCCUUAUUUAACUAAUUCAUCAAUUCUUUCCAGUUUGACAAUUAUUCAAGAAAGUGAAAGUCACAAUUCCAAAUCAACUAACCAUUUUUCACAGGGUCCUUGCACAGCUAUUAUCGUUUACCAUGAGAAUAACACAAACAUUCCAUCAAUUUCAUCAUGUAAUAAAUUUAAAACACCUUGAUUGAUCCAUAACUAAAUUAGGGCUUGAAAUUACCUCUUGGAAGUGUAAUUCAAAAAGAAAGAGACUGGAUGGGGGUAAACCAACAGAUUUUCGGCCACUAGGGUUACUGCCAACGAAGUGCCGCCACAACUCCACCUUCGGCCACGGCUUCACGGCGCUGCUUUCUUCUUCGCCACAUCUUUGUCUCGACUGCUCUCUUGUUUCUACUAAUUACACACUCACGACUAGACAGCAGCACCAAGGGUCAGAAACCCGGUGCACUCGAGGAAGGUGUGUGUGCGUGUUUUUGCGUUCUCCCGAUCAAACACACACUAGAAGCCUAAAUUCCAAUUUGACCCAUUU